CAACCCCUCAAGCUUCGGCUUGGUGUUGGGCCGCGCCGCUGCAGCAGCAGCUGGCGGGCCUCAAAAUCAGUGGCGGUGCCGUCUUGGCUCUAAGCGUAGUAACAUCUCUCGCUCUGGAGACCUGGCGGUUGCUUGCCAGACAACCCCCAACUUUCUUAAG
rnacentral:misc_RNA from 1 species